GAUGAACGCUGGCGGCGUGCCUAAUACAUGCAAGUCGAGCGAACAGAUGAGGAGCUUGCUCCUCUGACGUUAGCGGCGGACGGGUGAGUAACACGUGGAUAACCUACCUAUAAGACUGGGAUAACUUCGGGAAACCGGAGCUAAUACUGGAUAAUAUAUUGAACCGCAUGGUUCAAUAGUGAAAGACGGUUUUGCUGUCACUUAUAGAUGGAUCCGCGCCGCAUUAGCUAGUUGGUAAGGUAACGGCUCACCAAGGCAACGAUGCGUAGCCGACCUGAGAGGGUGAUCGGCCACACUGGAACUGAGACACGGUCCAGACUCCUACGGGAGGCAGCAGUAGGGAAUCUUCCGCAAUGGGCGAAAGCCUGACGCAGCAACGCCGCGUGAGUGAUGAAGGUCUUCGGAUCGUAAAACUCUGUUAUUAGGGAAGAACAAAUGUGUAAGUAACUAUGCACGUCUUGACGGUACCUAAUCAGAAAGCCACGGCUAACUACGUG
rnacentral:rRNA from 1 species